rnacentral:rRNA from 1 species
GAUGAACGCUGGCGGCGUGCUUAACACAUGCAAGUCGAACGGGAAACCUUUUAUUGAAGCUUCUGCAGAUUUAGCUGGUUUCUAGUGGCGGACGGGUGAGUAACGCGUGGGUAACCUGCUCUAUACAGGGGGAUAACAACCAUAAAUGGUUGCUAAUACCGCAUAAGCGCACAGGGCGGCAUGGUCCGGUGUGAAAAACUCGGGUGGUAUAGGAUGGACCCGCGUUGGAUUAGCCAGGUGGCAGGGUAACGGCCUACCAAAGCGACGAUCCAUAGCCGGCCUGAGAGGGUGACCGGCUACAUUGGGACUGAGACACGGCCCAGACUCGUACGGGAGGGAGGAGUAGGGAAUAUUGCGCAAUGGGGGAAGCCCUGAUGCAGCGACGUGGCGUGAAGGAAGAAGUAGCUCGGUAUGUGAACUUCUAUCAGAAGGGAAGAUAGUGACGGUACCUGACUAAGAAGCACCGGCUAACUACGUG